UAGAGUUUGAUCCUGGCUCAGGAUGACCUCUAGCUACAGGCUUAACACAUGCAAGUCGAGGGGCAUCAUGGAGUUUGCUUGCAAACUCUGAUGGCGACCGGCGCACGGGUGAGUAACGCGUAUCCAACCUUCCCUAUAGUAGAGGAUAGCCCGGCGAAAGUCGGAUUAAUACUCUAUGUUUUCCGUUGCAGACAUCUAAGAUGGAACAAAGGCUUGCCGCUAUAGGAUGGGGAUGCGUCUGAUUAGGUAGUCGGCGGGGUAACGGCCCACCGAGCCAUCGAUCAGUAGGGGUUCUGAGAGGAAGGUCCCCCACAUUGGAACUGAGACACGGUCCAAACUCCUACGGGAGGCAGCAGUGAGGAAUAUUGGUCAAUGGGCGAGAGCCUGAACCAGCCAAGUAGCGUGCAGGACGACGGCCCUAUGGGUUGUAAACUGCUUUUAUGCGGGGAUAAAGUUCACUAAGUGUAGUGUUUUGUAGGUACCGCAUGAAUAAGGACCGGCUAAUUCCGUGCCAGCAGCCGCGGUAAUACGGAAGGUCCGGGCGUUAUCCGGAUUUAUUGGGUUUAAAGGGAGCGCAGGCCGGAGGUCAAGCGUGACGUGAAAUGUAGCCGCUCAACGGCUGAACUGCGUCGCGAACUGGCUUUCUUGAGUGAGUUCGAUGUGGGCGGAAUUCGUGGUGUAGCGGUGAAAUGCUUAGAUAUCACGAAGAACUCCGAUUGCGAAGGCAGCCCACAAGGCCUUUACUGACGCUAAAGCUCGAAGGUGCGGGUAUCGAACAGGAUUAGAUACCCUGGUAGUCCGCACGGUAAACGAUGGAUGCCCGCUAUUCGCCCGUUGGGGUGAGUGGCCAAGCGAAAGCGUUAAGCAUCCCACCUGGGGAGUACGCCGGCAACGGUGAAACUCAAAGGAAUUGACGGGGGCCCGCACAAGCGGAGGAACAUGUGGUUUAAUUCGAUGAUACGCGAGGAACCUUACCCGGGCUCGAACGGCAAGUGAACGACACAGAGAUGUGAAGGUCCUUCGGGACACUUGUCGAGGUGCUGCAUGGUUGUCGUCAGCUCGUGCCGUGAGGUGUCGGCUUAAGUGCCAUAACGAGCGCAACCCUUGCCAUUAGUUACCAGCAUGUAAUGAUGGGGGCUCUAGUGGGACUGCCACCGUAAGGUGUGAGGAGGGGGGGGAUGACGUCAAAUCAGCACGGCCCUUACGUCCGGGGCGACACACGUGUUACAAUGGUGGGUACAGAGGGCAGCUACCUGGUGACAGGAUGCAAAUCUCGAAAACCCAUCUCAGUUCGGAUCGGAGUCUGCAACUCGACUCCGUGAAGUUGGAUUCGCUAGUAAUCGCGCAUCAGCCAUGGCGCGGUGAAUACGUUCCCGGGCCUUGCACUCAACGCCCGUCAAG
rnacentral:rRNA from 1 species